rnacentral:rRNA from 1 species
UGGGGAUUUUUCCGCAAUGGGCGCAAGCCUGACGGAGCAACGCCGCGUGUGGGAUGACGCGUUUCGGCGUGUAAACCACUGUUCGGGGGGACGAAGCACUGACGGUACCCCCGGAGGAAGGCCCGGCUAACUACGUGCCAGCAGCCGCGGUAAUACGUAGGGGUCGAGCGUUGUCCGGAGUUACUGGGCGUAAAGCGCGCGCAGGCGGCUCAUUACGCCCGGCGUGAAAGCCCCCGGCUCAACCGGGGAGGGUCGUCGGGUACGGGUGAGCUUGAGGGCAGCAGGGGCUGGUGGAAUUCCCGGUGUAGUGGUGAAAUGCGUAGAGAUCGGGAGGAACACCCGUGGCGAAGGCGGCCAGCUGGGCUGCACCUGACGCUGAGGCGCGAAGGCGUGGGGAGCGAAAGGGAUUAGAUACCCCUGUAGUC